rnacentral:rRNA from 1 species
AUACGUAGGCAGCAAGCGUUGUUCGGAGUUACUGGGCGUAAAGGGUGCGUAGGCGGUUCUCUAAGUUUGGUGUGAAAUCUCCCGGCUCAACUGGGAGGGUGCGCCGAAAACUGGGGAGCUAGAGUGUGGGAGAGGUGAGUGGAAUUCCUGGUGUAGCGGUGAAAUGCGUAGAUAUCAGGAGGAACAUCAGUGGCGAAGGCGACUAUCUGGACAGUAACUGACGCUGAGGCGCGAAAGCGUGGGGAGC